AAAAAAAAAAAACCUGUGAAUCUGAUUCAAACAGCACCUUGGUUAGGUCACCUCCCUUAGAUUUUCUGAUAGCUUGUAACAAAGUCAUUGCCUCUCUAACCAAAAUGGAACUACAUGAAUCUUUAAAGUGAGCCCCAUCACUAAAAUUCCACUUUGAAUUUCUGCAAAGGACAGCAAUACCAGCAGGUCCUAAUAAAGACACAUCACAGUUAAAUUUGUAAAAUCCUUCUUGGGGAGGAGACUAUUUGAGUCUCUAUGAUUUGUUGUAGAUGGAUGGGAGGGCCUUGCCACGAAUAAAGAGGGUGUUUCUGUAAAUUAUAGGCAUGCCUUUCUUGCAUUUUGAGCAGUAGAAGGGAUUAGGAGUUAUCUUCUUAAAGACAUUCAUUUCUGCUUUUCCAAAUAAGCCAG
rnacentral:misc_RNA from 1 species